UACGUAGGGUGCGAGCGUUAAUCGGAAUUACUGGGCGUAAAGGGUGCGCAGGCGGUUAUAUAAGUCAGAUGUGAAAUCCCCGGGCUCAACCUGGGAACUGCGUUUGUGACUGUAUGACUAGAGUACGGUAGAGAGGGGUGGAAUUCCCGGUGUAGAGGUGAAAUUCGUAGAUAUUGGGAAGAACACCGGUGGCGAAGGCGGCUCACUGGCUCAUUACUGACGCUCAGGCGCGACAGCGUGGGGAUCAAACAGG
rnacentral:rRNA from 1 species